rnacentral:lncRNA from 1 species
CGUUUUCAUUUCAAUGUUUUUUAACAUUUAUGUAUGACAAUUUAGUGUACCAAUACAAAGAAGACAUCACGUGUAAUUAGAAUGUCAAUUGAUGUCUUUAGUUUAAUGGAUAAUAAGGAGAAGCUCAAUGUUUGAAGAUCGUUGGAUUUUUCGGAUGGACUUUUCCUUGAGUACGAGAUAAUACGGCCACAUUGAUAUAUUUAUAAAGUUCACAUUUAUAAAUAAAUAGCAAAGGAGUUUAUUCACUGAUUCGAUGAAAUAUUGGAAGGAGUGAAGGAGUAGAAAGUACGUAAAAAGUUCGACAGGUUGGCCGGUAGGAAACCACAGUGAUCGGUGUUAGUUGGGUUUCCAAGAGUUGCUACGGUCGAAUUUGGAAAGAGGACUACGAUGAAAAUGGAACGCAACUUUACAACAUGGACAGACACGUACAGGCGUGACAGGGUGCUGCCCUCUGCGGGCUAAAAUUAGAGGGUGCUGUCCGAAGUUCUCCGCUACACGUUUGCAUUUCCUAUGCACUAUUUCCCACGUGUGGGUGCGUACAGUCCAGUGUGAAAGCUGGAUACCUCACCGCAAACGAGAUACACACGUUGCGGAUUCACGGACUCGCUGAUGCAAUAUUUCUAUCAGUUUACCGUGCCGGAAUAUGAAACAAAAAAAACGGGAAGACCGGAUCGCAUGGUUGAGUGACGAAAGAGCGAGAGAGCGAGAGAAAGAGAAAAAGCGAUAGGGUGGGUAAGAGACGGCCGAUAGAGAGGGAGAAAAAAAAUGCUUUCGGCUUUCUACGCUCGCCCAAAUAUUUUCGUUUUGUUCUACGCGCUUCUGGCGCUUUUCAAAAUCGAUCUUCCAUUAUCGUUUGAUUCUCUUGUGUAGCUCCGCUGUAACCGAAAUUGAAAGUUUACGUUGUAUGUCCUUUUUUUCCCCCGCGUUUAUUCCUCCAUAUAUAAACUCAUUUUGUGGUCUAUUACUUUUUUCGUCUUAUUAUUGGUAAGCUGCUUAGAAGUAGUUCGAUCGACCAUGCACGAAAUUUACGUGACAAGCAUUUAUUAUUGUCAAUGAUAAAAAGAAAUAUCAAAAAAGAAUAGAUUCAAUUAAUUGAUUGAAAAUAAUCUUUACAAGGAAUAAAACUUUGUAUACAUCUCGUUGAAGAUUCUUCAACCCACAAAACGAUUGAUCGUCACACUAGGGUGAAAUUUUGACCAACAAGAUUAUUCUUUUUUUGACGUCGGGUAAGAAAAAGAGGAUCGAUCUACUAUAAAAUGACUACUACAAGAAAAAGGAAUCUCUGCAUCCUAGAGACUUUUGCGAAGGACUGUAUCUCGCGUAUCCGGUGUACUCUCUCCAGAGGCAUUAGACGCAGUGUAUCGGCGGCCGUGCUCGUGCGCGAGUAUUAGACACCAUGCCCACAGCUCAUUUGCCAACUCCGGCAAAUUUACCAAAUUUAAAUGCAAAAUCGGCCAGUGCUCCGUCGCUUCGUGAGCGCCUGGCUGAGAGCGAGAUAGAAAGAGAACGAAAUAGAGAUGGCGAAGGAGAAAGAGGGGAAUGUAGAAGAGGUGGAUGGAUUGAGCAAGAGAGAAAGAGGGAAUGGGAGAGUGGAGAGAAAGAGAUGAAAAUAGAGAGAAGAAGAGGGAGAGGGAAUAGGAGCGGUAGACCGAGAGGGUAGUGGCCGCUGUUGGAAUAGGAUGGACGGAUAGCGAACGAGCGUGAGUUUGUAAGAGA